CUCUACCCAGAUCACUCACCUCUCCUCCCUUCCUUCCUCCCGCCGCCUCCCUCUCUCUCUCCCCGAUCCAGAUCGACGUCGCCACCCCUCUCUAACCCUAGCUUCCCGUCGCCGGCGGCGGCGCCCUCCUUCGCUCGCCCUCUCCUCCUCCCCUCCUCACGGGUGUCUCCACAACGCCACGAAUCCCGGCGACCCACCCCGUCUCUGCGCCCGCCUCGGCAACCACCUUCGCUGCGCGUCCGAGUCCCAUCCGUGUCCGUGCCGGCUCCGUCUCCGUAUCCUUUCAUGGGAGGUGACCCGCACCCGGCCCCGCAACAGGGGAGGGGCGGCGGCGGCCUCGUGUAGAUCCCAUCGGGAUCCCGUCCGAAUCACGGCGCGGACGCUAAGGCCACGACGGCGGUCACCCUCCGCACACCACCACGCCCUCCCCUCACCCUGGUCCUAGGUCGGGCAGUGCGAGGCGGUGCUCCCAUACCCGCGACGGCCGCAGCCUUGUCCACCCCGAUCUGGAGCUGGAGAUGGUCGCCGCCGUGGUGAACUACCCAAUCGUCGCGGGGUUCCUCACCUUCGCGGUCGCGUAGUCUGCCAAGUUCUUCACCACCUGGUGAGCUGGCCGCUCCCCUCCCCUCCCCCGCCCCGCGUUACAGUUCUGGCCGAGGGUUUGGCUCUGCUCCUCGGGUUGCUGCUCGUGUGAGCAUUGUGGACCGGUGGGAGCACGUGUGCUUUUGGUGGUCGGGAGUUCGUAGCUUAUGUGCUUAGUGCGAAGGUGAACAUAGAUUUGGAUUUGAGACCUGCUAGGAACGGUAUUUGACAAAUUUUAUUUAGGCUUUUUUCGUUUUAUAAUUCGGCGGAUCAGUUAGUAGCUAGGCUGUGGAUCCUCGCGAAGCUUAGUGAGAUAUUCCUCUUAUUUUUGCGUUUCGCUUCACCGUGUUGGUAUGAUCUGCGCCAACUGCUUCUGAAACCAGCUAUUCAUGAACCACUAGCAGAAUACUUUGUAAACGAGGCAAACGGAAAUGCCAGAUAUGCCACGUGGUGUGAGAGUUGGACGAAUGCUUACAGUUACCGAACUAGGACAGAAAACGUGCCAGAAGUUUGUGUACUUGUUCGGCAUGUUUUCCUCUGGAAGUAGUGGAUCACAUUACUCAUAGUCAUGAGGUUUUAGCUAUUAAUCCGAGAGCAUUUUAGGGCCAUUCGGAUGAUUUGGUGAGGCACUUAGAGGUCUGUUUUUUUAGGGUCAUUCGUUCAUUCAUUUUGGUUCAGUUAGCUAGGGGCUAUCAGCAAUUAAAUUCAGAGAAAUCCCUGUCAAGCAUGAGGUUCUCCUACAUACCUACUGCCAUAUGUUUCUACUGAAUAUAUUGACAUGCCAUGACACUAUGAUGCAAUAGAAUGGCUAGCACAAGCUUUCCCUUCUAAGGAUGUCAGCAGUAGGAAGAAUCAUUGUAGCGCUUUGGUAAAGUGGAGGGGUUCAGGUUCCCCAAGUGUUUAUUCUUGAUCACUCACCAGUUUUAUCUUUCAUGUGCUGACAUUGUUCUCUAUCCUGUUUGCAAUCGAUCUUCUAUUCGUCUGCCUCGACAUUGGCGAACGGCGAUACACAUCCAUUAGUUUAUUUGGGAUCUUACAAGACAGAGGAGGAAGCAGCUCGCACCCAUGAUCUUGUGGCGCUCAAGUGCUGGGGCUCAGGCGACGCUCAAGUGCUGGGGCUCACACUUCGGGCUCCUCAACUUCCCAAUAAGUGCAGGUGGACACGUACAUGCAGGAGCACGAGAGGAUGCAGCGGGUGACACGGGAGGAGUACCAACAACAACAACUUCGCCGACAGGGGCCUACCGCUCAACAUCCUGGUGUACUUGCCACUAGUCCCAAUCAUGCGCAUAUGAUAGUUUAGGUUCAGUCAGGGAUUGUCAAGACCAUUCAGGUUCAGCGAGAUGGCUCUCUGAACCAUGAGUAGGUAGCACAACGCAUGCCUUGCCGGCUGACAGACAAGACCACUAGUUGUCCUGCGGCUCUACUACUGUACCAUGUGUUCCUACUACUAGCUCUAGUCGUGGAUGCUGGGUAGCUCCAUGUUUUCUCUGUUUUUAUGUAAUCUUUUCUCUGUUUGUUUUUCUUGGCGCAUCAUAGAUGAAGCUCGGAGCUAGAUAGAACCAUACAACUGCGGAUGACAAACACUGCAAUUUAAUCUAAAAUUGUCAUCAUGAUCCUAGCAAAUACUCAUCAAAUAACUGUAAAUUGUUGCAUGAUUAGUGUCUAGUGUAGAUUCAAAAUAAGGUUGCACUUCUAGAGGAGAUAAGCCACUGAUGUUGGAUGCUUGGUAAUUAUCUUGUGUUGUGUGCAUGUCAUGUUCAUGAGCAACAAGCAUAUGAUUUGUGCCUGUGCUCUACUGUAUUGGCCUCAUUGGUCAUGGCUGAUUGACCUGGAUUAUAGCUUAUUCCUUCAGCGUACUAUCUCUUUCUCAAGUCAACUCAAGCAACAAUUCAUACUAAAUAGCACUUCUUAAUUUUCAUGCAUACUUGCUCCAGCUCUUCUUAAUUUUUAUGCAUGUUUCUUUUCGGACUUGAUCAUACUAAAUAGCACCUGAUUCAUGCUGUUUGAUGAACUAGUACCCGCGUCGGGAGACUAGCAGGGAACUUGCAAACUUAAGUUUUCUCACCAGUAGUCACUUAUCCUGUUGUUCAUGUCCAUACAACAUUUUUCCUGGUUCUAUGUUACAGCUGCUGCAAACAAUUUAUUAAUGUGGGAUGUUGCUCUAUGUCCAGUUUCUGUUUCUCUUGUAAAGAAAUCCCUUCUGCCUCUGGUGUGCAGCAAGUUGAUUGUUCUGUCUUUGUAUUAUUGUGCAAAUUGGCCAAGUGUUCGUCGAUCUGCAAGCCGAUUUAAGAUCUGGAUUGGUCGGUCCAAUUCAACACGGAGCUGAGUGUAUGUUGAAACUUUUCGUCCAUCAAGCGCCGCCUCCGGCCGCCCCGACGAUGCCCUUGCCUUCACCAACCUCCACUCGUCCAUGAGGUGAUUUGUUUCUUGGAAUUUGGAAGAGGAAGACGAUGAAGCGUGGUGGUUAUCUAUCAAUAUGCCUUGUGUUUUGGUUGUACUUCAUAGCUAGUUACAUUGUAUUCUGUACUGGUUGGCAUAUCUGAUUGUAUGAACGCCAUGUAAAGAUUGUAAUAGGCUAAUUUUAGCUAUCAUUUCAAG
rnacentral:rRNA from 1 species